rnacentral:rRNA from 1 species
AUCCAGACUCCUACGGGAGGCAGCAGUGGGGAAUCUUCCGCAAUGGGCGAAAGCCUGACGGAGCAACGCCGCGUGAUCGAAUGAAGGCCUUCGGGUUGUAAAGAUCUGCUGACAGGGACGAAUAAGCCAUGCGAAUAGUUUGGUGUAUGACGGUACCUGUUUAGAAAGCUCCGGCUAACUACGUGCCAGCAGCCGCGGUAAUACGUAGGGGGCAAGCGUUAUCCGGAUUCACUGGGCGUAAAGGGAGCGCAGGCGGCGCGACAAGUCUGAUGUGAAAGCCCGGGGCUCAACCCCGGGUCUGCAUUGGAAACUGUCGAGCUAGAGUGUCGGAGGGGUAAGCGGAAUUCCUAGGGUAGCGGUGAAAUGCGUAGAUAUUAGGAGGAACACCAGUGGCGAAGGCGACUUUCUGGACUGUACCUGACGCUGAGGCGCGAAAGCGUGGGUAGCGAACGGGAUUAGAUACCCCCGUAC